rnacentral:rRNA from 1 species
GUCGAGAAUCUUUCACAAUGGGGGCAACCCUGAUGGAGCGACGCCGCGUGGAGGAUAAGGUCUUCGGAUUGUAAACUCCUGUCAUGCGUGAACAAGGUUGCUUGGUUAAUACCUGGGCAAAUUGAUGGUAACGCAAGAGGAAGAGACGGCUAACUCUGUGCCAGCAGCCGCGGUAAUACAGAGGUCUCAAGCUUUGUUCGGAAUCACUGGGCGUAAAGGGUGCGUAGGUGGCGUGGUAAGUCAGAUGUGAAAGCCCGGGGCUCAACAUCGGAACUGCAUGCGAUACUGCCAUGCUAGAGUACUGGAGAGGUGACUAGAAUUCUCGGUGUAGCAGUGAAAUGCGUAGAUAUCGAGAGGAAUACCAAAGGCGUAGGCAGGUCACUGGACAGUUACUGACACUGAGGCACGAAGGCCAGGGGAGCGAACGGGAUUAGAAACCCGGGUAGUCC